GGGUGCUUACCAUGCAAGUCGAACGAUGAACCACUUCGGUGGGGAUUAGUGGCGAACGGGUGAGUAACACGUGGGCAAUCUGCCCUGCACUCUGGGACAAGCCCUGGAAACGGGGUCUAAUACCGGAUACUGACCCUCACGGGCAUCUGUGAGGUUCGAAAGCUCCGGCGGUGCAGGAUGAGCCCGCGGCCUAUCAGCUUGUUGGUGAGGUAAUGGCUCACCAAGGCGACGACGGGUAGCCGGCCUGAGAGGGCGACCGGCCACACUGGGACUGAGACACGGCCCAGACUCCUACGGGAGGCAGCAGUGGGGAAUAUUGCACAAUGGGCGAAAGCCUGAUGCAGCGACGCCGCGUGAGGGAUGACGGCCUUCGGGUUGUAAACCUCUUUCAGCAGGGAAGAAGCGAAAGUGACGGUACCUGCAGAAGAAGCGCCGGCUAACUACGUGCCAGCAGCCGCGGUAAUACGUAGGGCGCGAGCGUUGUCCGGAAUUAUUGGGCGUAAAGAGCUCGUAGGCGGCUUGUCGCGUCGGUUGUGAAAGCCCGGGGCUUAACCCCGGGUCUGCAGUCGAUACGGGCAGGCUAGAGUUCGGUAGGGGAGAUCGGAAUUCCUGGUGUAGCGGUGAAAUGCGCAGAUAUCAGGAGGAACACCGGUGGCGAAGGCGGAUCUCUGGGCCGAUACUGACGCUGAGGAGCGAAAGCGUGGGGGAGCGAACAGGAUUAAAUACCCUGGUAGUCCACGCCGUAAACGGUGGGGCACUAGGUGUGGGCAACAUUCCACGUUGUCCGUGCCGCA
rnacentral:rRNA from 1 species